rnacentral:rRNA from 1 species
AUUGAACGCUGGCGGCAGGCCUAACACAUGCGAGUCGAACGGUAACAGGAAGCAGCUUGCUGCUUUGCUGACGAGUGGCGGACGGGUGAGUAAUGUCUGGGAAACUGCCUGAUGGAGGGGGAUAACUACUGGAAACGGUAGCUAAUACCGCAUAACGUCGCAAGACCAAAGAGGGGGACCUUCGGGCCUCUUGCCAUCGGAUGUGCCCAGAUGGGAUUAGCUAGUAGGUGGGGUAACGGCUCACCUAGGCGACGAUCCCUAGCUGGUCUGAGAGGAUGACCAGCCACACUGGAACUGAGACACGGUCCAGACUCCUACGGGAGGCAACAGUGGGGAAUAUUGCACAAUGGGCGCAAGCCUGAUGCAGCCAUGCCGCGUGUAUGAAGAAGGCCUUCGGGUUGUAAAGUACUUUCAGCGGGGAGGAAGGGAGUAAAGUUAAUACCUUUGCUCAUUGACGUUACCCGCAGAAGAAGCACCGGCUAACUCCGUG